GAAAAGAUAGGGUUGCUGACAUGGAAUCAACGGGAGUAGUGAGUGCAGAAGAGAUAGAAAGGGGCAUAAGACGUGUGAUGGAUGGCGAGAGUGAAAUGAGAAAGAAAAUGAAGGAAUUGAAAGACGCCUGCAGGAAAGCCACUCAACCGGGUGGUUCAUCUUACACUUCACUUGGGGAGUUUAUCCAGGAUGUCACGAAUAGCAUCAGGGAAGGAGCUCUAAACUGAAUGAAUAAUACUUGCAAAGCUUUGAACUCGAGUUAUAACUAAACCACAUAUACAACUUGAGUUUCUGGCAAAUGUGGCACACUGUUUAUCUAGUUAUCCAUAUAUUCUGUAUAUGCUACCAAUGAAUAAGCAUGAGGUGAAUAUGUUUGCUUCAGUUCUUUCGUCCCAUGUCGGAUACUUCACAUGUUUCUAACUAUUCUUGUUGUUUAAAAAUCAAUAAAAGAAGUAAACAGGUAGUGGUUGUGAAAGGUUAGGAUGGAAAACGAAACGGAAUGUAAAACUUUUACUAAUUUUUAGAUUUCGUUGUAGGCUCUUUGGCCACCCAGAGAGUUUGUUUCCAGGUAAUUUUGUGUAAAUUUCAAACAUAGGUGCUCGAAGCCAAACAUUCAGAUAUGUUAACUUUAUAUUUACUAGAUUGAGUUACACAAGCUAUCCUUUCUUCUCAUCUUUUAAAUUAAAAAUGCAAAUUUUUGGUUAAUUAGUCAGCAAUCUAAUCUUGCAAUUAAAAAUUUAGAAUCAACAGAAUAUGGCUAGCACAGCUUGAUGAAUCCUCUUCUCUGCAGACUGCUUGAAGACGGUGAGCCUGAUGUGACGACGGAGGUAGCAUGGGUACUUUAUAAGAAGUUCAUGAACUUGUCUUGGACAUGGAAGGAAAUCUGGCUGCAUAAAAUGAUAUUUAGUUUGGAUUUUUUUAGCAAGUCUACGGAGUUCAUUAGAAUAGUGAACAAGUGUUGUGGGAGGUUAGUAGUACAGAGUUCUGGGGGACAGAAUUAUUAAAGCAAAACUUAAAAUUUUACCCACUCUGGACCAUAAGCUUAUUGCAAUCAAGUAUCAACAUACAAAAAACAUGCACAAGAAAAUGUGAAUGACAUGGAUAAAAUAAUAGCAUCUUUAAACAAUGAAGAGAUCAUCCAAUCCACAAAAGGAGAGUAGCAUUUUCCUCAACAACAACAAAAAAAAACUUUCAUACUAUAACCAUACUUUUAUCAAACGGUGAGAAAAACAAGUGGUAGGUGAAUCGGGUAGGUGAAUUGGGGGUUAUGCAAAAAAUCUUAUUUUCACGGAGAAAAGCAUUCCAACACCAAAGCUUUCACUAUCUUUACCACACACUUCAAGUUCUCUGAUCCGCUCUGCAUUUUUUGUCACAGUACAAAAAUACAUCGUUUAGUCCUCAUCUUUUAAGUAAGUACUAUGCUUAAAAUUCAUUCUCAUUACAAUAAACACAAAUGGAGAAAAUGGAUUAAUCGAAGUAUCCUGCACCCUAAUUUUCUUAGAACCCUAAUUUUCGCUCUCCGCGCGAUUGUGCAAGAUAAACCUCUUUUGGACCAAAAUGAUUUAUAGGAUUACAUGUCAGAUAUCAGUGUUUUAAUUUUAAUUUCUUGUUUUUGUCAUGUCGGCAUUGACUAAAAUCGUUAGUUCCCUUUUAACGGGAGGAUGUGAAUCAGAAAAAUUCGAAAAUUUAAAGAUCACGUUAUUGGGAGAAAAAAAGAAAUAGGGGCCUGAAUAAUAUAUAAGCAGUUCAAGGACGUCUGAAUUUAUGAUCCCAUCUAUAAACAGCAGUAGGAAUAAAGGCUUUUGUCUUAAAGUUGUUAUCUUGUACUAUGUCAUGAUGAUCACGCCCCUUGUUGUUUCUAUACCAAUCUAUGCUUAAGUUUUGUUGUUUCAAUUUGUUUAUCUCGUUCAACUAAGAACAAAUUAUGAAAGCGGAGCUAAUAAUUAUCCCCGCUCCGGGGGCUGGUCACCUGCUAUCCAUGGUUGAGCUCGCCAAGCUCAUUGCUAGUCGAGAUGAGCGAAUUUCUGUGAGCGUCCUGAUAAUCAGGCUCCCUUUUGAGUCCAGCAUCGAUGGUUUCGACAAAGAUGCUCCUGGAAACUUAGCCUUUCUAGAUGUCCCUGCUCUCGACGACAUCGCCUUGGCAGAGCUCAUGUCCUUGCCUCGGGUAUCUUUCCUCCAUUCCUUCAUUACGAAGCACCGAACCGCGGUGAGAGACGUGGUCUCUGCAAUUCUGAAGCGCUCCGAGUGCUCUAAGCUAUGUGGAUUUGUCAUUGAUAUGUUCUGCCUCUCGAUGAUAGACGUGGCGAAUGAGUUCAAUGUCCCGGCUUUUGCGUUCUUCACUUCUGGCGCGGCUUUUCUUUCGCUCCAGUUUUAUAUCCAAGCUCUCAAAGAUGUUGAGGGGAUAGAUAUAUAUAAGUACAAGGAGUUGGAUGUUGAGAGGCUGGCUUUCUCGGGUUUUCUUAAUCCAGUUCCUGUCGAGGUUUUGCCUUCGGUGAUGCUGACAAAGGAUGGGUGUCCUGUGGUCAUUGCUGCAGCCCGAAGAUUACGGGAGACCAAGGCUAUUUUGAUCAACACGGUGUGGGAACUCGAAUCCCACGCUAUUAAAUCCCUCUCUGAUGAUGGUAAUGCCCCUGGUAUAUACCAUGUAGGCCCUGUAAUUAAUUUCAAGAGGGGCGAGGCAGGAGAGGAUGUUAUUGUUACCUGGUUGGACAGGCAGCCACCUAGCUCGGUGGUGUAUUUGUGCUUCGGGAGCAGUGGAAGCUUUGAUGGAGAACAAGUUGGGGAGAUAGCGCGUGCCUUGGAGCUCAGUGGACAGCGUUAUUUGUGGUCUCUACGACGCCCGUCUCAAGGAAAGGAUCAAGUGGAAGUGCUAAAAGAUUAUGAUGACUACAACGAGGUGUUGCCCCAGGGGUUUUUAGAGAGGACAUCUGGAAAAGGGAAAAUUAUUGGAUGGGCGCCGCAGUUGAGUAUCCUUGCCCAUCCAAGUGUGGGAGGAUUCGUGUCUCAUUGUGGAUGGAACUCUAUCUUAGAAAGUAUAUGGUGCGGUGUGCCAAUAGCCACUUGGCCUAUGUAUGCUGAGCAGCAAGUGAACGCGUUCCAGCUGGUGGUGGACUUGGGGUUAGCAGCCGAGAUUAAGAUGGAUUACAGAAAAGACAGGGCUGCUCACAUGGAAUCAACGGGAGUAGUGAGUGCAGAAGAGAUAGAAAGGGGCAUAAGACGUGUGAUGGACGGCGAGAGUGAAAUGAGGAAGAAAAUGAAGGAGAUGAAAGACGCCUGCAGAAAAGCCACUCAACUGGGUGGUUCAUCUUACACUUCACUGGGGGAGUUUAUCCAGGAUGUCACCAAUAGCAUCAGGGAAGGAGC
rnacentral:lncRNA from 1 species